AUUAUGGAGACACUAACCCCAAAUACCAUCAGAAAUGUUAGCUCCAUUCUGACUGCGUUCGAAAGAGGAAGGUUGUGGAUGUGGAGUUAGAAGGCUUAGGGUCCAGUCUCCUUCACCUGCAAAGUGCACCAGGGUGGCCACUCUGGCAGUAUGGGUUCCUCUUCUGGGCAUUAGAUACUCAGGCCAUAUGGGGAGGGACUUCUGUGGUUUAGGCUGGUUUACUCUUUGACCCUUUAGCCUAGGCUACACCACUGUACACACUGGCUCAGGCUACGCUGUCCUGAAAUCUUCCAUACCCCUCUGAAGUCUGUCUUGGGAUUGAUCUCCUUAAGGGUCUUCCAGGACAGGUACCAGGGACCUUUGUUAGGCUCCACAGAAAUCUACACCUGCAGGGAAAUAUGAAAGGAUACCUUCAGAUUAUAAUUUAAUCUUUUUUAAAAAACGAUUUGAUUUGAUUUAUGUGUGUGUGUACACUCAUGCAUGUGUAUACGGCUGCAUGCUGUGUGUGUGUGUGUGUGUGUGUGUGUGUGUGUAUACCAAAGGAGGCCAGAGUGCAUUGGAACCCUGGAGUUGGAGCUACAGGCAGUGGUAAGCCCUUGAAUGUGGGUGCUGGGAACCAAAUGUGGGUCUUCUGAGACAUCUGCAGCCCACAUAACAUCACUUGAAAACAUGAAUACAGAAACAGGAUUGUACUGAGUGUGUGUGUGCACAUGUCUGUGAGUGUGUGCUAGACAGAGUCUCUCACUUGCCUAGAACUCAUGGAGUAGGGUAGGCCUCAGAUACCCACCUGUUUCUGUCUUCCCGGUGGUUAGGUUGCAAUCAUACACCUCCACACUUGUCUUUUGUUGCUGUGUUGUUUUGAAACCAUGGACUCGGGAGUUGACGAAUCUCCCCGGUCCUUAUUCAGAGUUUCUGAAAAGGCAUUUACCGUGCUUCAUCCCUUCUGGCUUUGAGCUGUAUGAGCUCUCCCCUUACCUUUAAUUCUUAUGUAUCCCUGCUUUCCUUACGCAUGAUGCUGGUGCUCACAUGACGAAGAAUAGCAGAUGCUCAUCUCCUUCAGUUACUAGACAAUAAAAACGAUGAAAACCGAAGGAAGAAGCAAAAAUAAAUUUAUUUCUUUACUGAAAGAAGAGGAGAAUGUCCUCUUGGAGGAGUGCGGUUAGCCCCGGUGUUAGGAGCAGCCUACCUGUGUCAAGAGCCUUUCCAUGUGCUGCUUUGAGAGUGUUUGGAACCGGCGCCCAUUCCCUGCCUCUACAGAAAUGGAUCUCGAAUGUGCCUAGAAGGAUCUGGGGCUGAGGCCGCCACUACUCCUAGCCCCUUGAUGAUUCAGGAAUGCCUCUACUGGCUGAGCACGCCCUCCGUCCCUCAGUGAUCCAGUCAGACAGGAAUUCAUCACUGAGCCACUACUCCGGACUCCCAGCUCCUAGCUCAUGUCCCUGCAGUGUAUCCAGUAAACUAAAUUUAGACCCUCGGGGACAACAGAGAAGGAGCCAUGUGGCCCAGAUCUCUGUCUUCGUGUGCGGUGGGCUAUAUGACAUGCUUGCCUUCUCCGAUCUGAAAACCUAGGCUAGAUUUGGGUCUAGUGAAACAACUUGGGGGUUGGGGAAAAGGCUACAAUCGGAAACUGCGCAUUUCUGUAACAAUAACUUCAGACAAAGUAAGAUGAAGAGGUUUGAAAAAUAAAUACAAUUGCC
ensembl:processed_transcript 5031434O11Rik RIKEN cDNA 5031434O11 gene